UACGUAGGGCGCAAGCGUUGUCCGGAAUUAUUGGGCGUAAAGCGCUUGUAGGCGGCUUGUUAAGUUCCGUGUGAAAUCCCCAGGCUUAACCUGGGAAGUGCGCGGAAAACUGGCGAGCUUGAGUGCCGGAGAGGGUCGCGGAAUUCCCGGUGUAGAGGUGAAAUGCGCAGAUAUCAGGAGGAACACCAAUGGCGAAGGCAGCUCGCUGGGACGUGACUGACGCUGAGACGCGAAAGCGUGGGGAGCAAACAGG
rnacentral:rRNA from 1 species